rnacentral:rRNA from 1 species
GACGGACGGUGCAAGCGUUGCUCGGAAUCACUGGGCGUAAAGGGUGCGUAGGCGGCCGUGCAAGUCUGGCGUGAAAGCCCCGGGCUCAGCCCGGGAAGUGCGCUCGAAACUGCGCGGCUCGAGUGCCGGAGGGGGGAGUGGAAUUCCUGGUGUAGCGGUGAAAUGCGCAGAUAUCAGGAGGAAUACCGGUGGCGAAAGCGACUCUCUGGACGGCAACUGACGCUGAGGCACGAAAGCGUGGGGAGCAAACAGG